rnacentral:rRNA from 1 species
GAUGAACGCUGGCGGCGUGCCUAAUACAUGCAAGUCGAGCGAACGGACGAGAAGCUUGCUUUUCUGAUGUUAGCGGCGGACGGGUGAGUAACACGUGGAUAACCUACCUAUAAGACUGGGAUAACUUCGGGAAACCGGAGCUAAUACCGGAUAAUAUUUUGAACCGCAUGGUUCAAAAGUGAAAGACGGUCUUGCUGUCACUUAUAGAUGGAUCCGCGCUGCAUUAGCUAGUUGGUAAGGUAACGGCUUACCAAGGCAACGAUGCAUAGCCGACCUGAGAGGGUGAUCGGCCACACUGGAACUGAGACACGGUCCAGACUCCUACGGGAGGCAGCAGUAGGGAAUCUUCCGCAAUGGGCGAAAGCCUGACGGAGCAACGCCGCGUGAGUGAUGAAGGUCUUCGGAUCGUAAAACUCUGUUAUUAGGGAAGAACAUAUGUGUAAGUAGCUGUGCACGUCUUGACGGUACCUAAUCAGAAAGCCACGGCUAACUACGUG